rnacentral:lncRNA from 1 species
GCCGAUCGGGCUCGGAGGCAGGGCGCCCGCCCAACUCUCCUGGGCGCCCGCCCAGCUACAGUGUCCAAUUCGGACCCGUUUCGCGUAUUAUGCUCCACCGACCUAAAGGAUCAAGGAAAACCAUGCGAUUAAUGUCGGUUUGAUCCGACGGCCCAGAUUCACUUGAAGGGACUAUAAAACCAGACCCCCUGGCCCAUGGAGAUCAUACCUCUUAUACAGAAUCAAAGCUAGGGUUUCAAUUCUUCAUCCAAGUAGAGAGGAUCCCUCUAGUUCUUCUAGUUCUAGUUCCUCUAGUUCUAGUUCUAGUUAGUUCUAGUUGUAAUCUAGAAAACAGGGAGAGAGAAGAGGAGAGCGGAGGAGGAGCCGGAUCUGUCGGAUCUUCCUCAACAUUGUACUUUCGCAGCAUCUGGUUCGUUCUUCAUCGUUCUCCAGGUUCUUCAAUUCAUAACUCCUGAGUUCUCUAAUUACCUUUAUUUACAUUCAAGUUAUUUAUUGGAUUCCCGCUUGCAUCAAGUGCUCUAAUCUUUGAAACAUUAGAGUAGUAAUUAAUAGAUUAGACGUGGUGUUUAGUCUUGCAAUUACCUGGAAUUGCACCCAAUCCCGCGGAUUGUUGUCGUAGCCUUAGUGUAGUGACAGCCCUAACGGUCGACGUAUUCCACCACGUUCGGAUCAGUGUUUGUAGGACCGUAGUCAGACCUUCCUAGCCCCCUUCUCAUCUCUUUCUGUGGUUGGUGCUCUGAUGUCCCGAUAUAGAUAAUCUUGAAGUAAUUCUUGAUUCUUAGAUCAACUAGAGAACUCUCAGGAAACUUCCUCUCUUCCCACCAAAAAUAAUCAUAUAGUUAUCCUUGGGCGAUCUUGGAUCUUAAUUAGUACACUCACGUUCUCUGUGGAAAAUCGAUACUCUGGAAUACUCCCGGGUGAAGGCUACAUCGGUAUCCAGGCGCUUGUGGAUUUUUCUGUUUGCGUUUAAAAUACCCAACAGUACACAUGCUUUUAAAUGAGGUCUCAUCUCUGAGUUAGAGUAAACUGUCAAGACUUAAAACUUACUUACUUUACCUUUCACCAUGGGACUUGUAACCGUCACUUCUGUCUUGAGUGGUUAAAAGAUAGAACAGUCCAGUCAAGUGCCAUGUCGCUUAUUCUUGAUCAGCUAUAGCUCUAGAGUUUUUUGCAGAUUUUCAAAUAAAACUCAGAGAUUCCUUUGUAUGACUCUCUCAUAUCUCUCUUUUGUGGUAUUUCUAGAUCCUUACCAAGGCAGUGAUGGUAUAUGCCUUCUCUCAAAAUAUGUGGUAUUUGUGGUAUAAGGGAUAGUGACAUUGUCUUCUCUCUCACCCUACUCUAAUAAGGCUUUAAUAUCUGGAGCUCAUAGGUGGGAGAUAAAAUAUACAUACUUACAAGACAUUUAUUGUAUAGUCAAACCAUGGAUCCAAAGAAACAAAUCAGUAAGCCAAAUCAAGAUGUGCAUGUGUGGCGAAUGAAUAGUGUAUGGUGAUGAUGGUGAUAACAAUGGUGAAAGUCUAAUUCUACUUUUGCUCUUUUGAGGGUAUACAUACCUUCCUUGCUUUUUGAAACUUUAUGAGGAGAAUGAGAUGCUCUUCUUUUUCUUUUCUCUCAGAUGGGUAUCCUGUACCCCUAAUUCUACUGUCGGACACUUGUCCAUUUUUACCUCUCGUCUCACUCUUUUUCUUUUCUUUCGAGGUUCCGGACACUUGCCCCUUUUUAUUUCCUCGUUUAUAUAUUUUUUUUCUUUUCUCUCUUUUUUUUUCUUCUUUUUUUUUCAGAGCACUCAUCUCUUAAGAUAAUAUAGCAAGUGGUAGUAGCAAGAUAACUCGAGCAUUUAUUUCACAAGGGAAAAACAUACAUGUUUUUGGAUAUUCUCUCCCGAAUUAGGAGUAGAAUAUUUUUAGGUGAUUCUGGAGAUGGAAAUGGAUGGAUAUAUGUGGAUGGUACUUCCGGAGUAGAAGUAGCAUAUAUAUGAGUGAACGUGCAAGUGAAUCUUGAUUUAACCACAUGACAAGCUCCUAAGGGUCUACCCAGCUUGACCACACUCAAUGCUCAUAAGCAGUAAAUAAUAAAUGUGUGGCUCAAAGUCUAGCGAGCAUGUAUAUAUGGCUGUGGUAGGAAUUUAAACUUUCAUCAUACAGGAACUCAUGUAUAUAUGGCUGUGGUAGGAAUUUAAACUUUCAUCAUACAGGAACUCAUCAUGCAACAUUUUAAAGAUUUUUCAAAGAUAAAAUUCUCCAGAAUUCUAGCAUCUCUAGGAACAGAUAAACAGCAGCUCAACCUUCCCAUAUCAUAUCCGUUAACAACUUAGAUUUCAGAUCAAGUUUUCAUCCCACAAGUUUAGAUCUAGAGCAAGCUUUAAAUUAUAACAGUUAUGUCUAAACUUGAGAGAGAACUUCAAAUUUGCAAAUUAGGCAGAGCAACUAUUCAUCAUAUCCAUGCUAGAGUUUUAUUAUUAAGAUUCAGAUUAGCAUAGCCACUUUAUUUACUAAGCAAAAGAUAUAUAUAUAAGCACAAAAUCUUUAUUUGGUUUCUCAUAGUUUAUGUAUUUUAAUAUUCUAAUAUAAUAUAAGUAUAAAGGUAGGUAGAAAUACUUAGCGAGAUAAAUGGGGGUGCUCUCCCACAAGCUGAAUUUUGACGUAAUUUCUCUUGAUGUAGCUAGCACGUGGCAGAGGUGUAUUUGAAAGUCAGCAGCAUUCUGACAGCGAUUAGAAUGUCCUCCGUCUGCUAGUCUUCUUGAUUCUUAAAUUUUGUGGAGCUCAAAUAGACAACAAAGCUUGUGGAACUAAUUAAGUGUUAGCAUAAAUAUCUAGCCUUCAUCACGUUGAGCUUCCUCAAUAAAUAUUACUCCCUGUUUUUAUAUUUUUAUUUUAUAAAGUAGAAAAGAAAUAUUUAUUUUAUUUUUAUGCCACCACAGUGAAGGUACUUAUGGGUUUUAUGCCACUCGUAUACUCACAUGGGGCUUAGUAUUUUUUUAACAUUUUUAUUUUCUUUUCAAGAUAGCAUGAUUAACUAAUAAUCUAUUUAAGGAAAGUAAAUAAUUAAAUGGAAAAGGGAAUGCAGAAAGGAUAAAUAUGGAUAACUACCAAUCUUACCUUUCGGCGAGGGUUCAAUGUUUUAAGUCUUCUUGUCAAGACUUCUCAUCGUGUUCAUUCUUCAGGUGCGGACCUUGACGUCUGCACCUUUUAAUACGGUGUCACCCAUGUUCUUCGUUUGCCCAGCAGUUCGAAGUGCGGUGUUAGCAGUAUCUUGCUCAGUGUGUUUGUGCUCGUAGUGUACCUGCUCAUAGAGACAAGGCAGAGAUCAAGUGCAUGGGCCCUGUUGGUGGAAAACACCAACAGAACCAAAAGUGUAUUUGUUCUUCUCUAACCUUAAGCAUAGUGAGCAAGACAAGUUGAUGGAUGAUAAGUUCAUGAGUGUAGCACUUAUAACAUUUGUCAGAUCAGAUUGCUCAACCUUAUGGAAAGAUAAUCUAUCUAUGUAUAUGUCUUUUUCUUUAUAUCUCUCAAUGAUUGAAUGUGUAACAUUUUAGCUCAUAUGAUUAUGAGUGUGGGAUCAUGGAGGUAGUACUAAGAACAAGGAUUAAAAGACUAAACAUGUUGAAUCAGUUGGGUUGGUUAAUCUAGAGUUGUAAAUCAUACACGUUUGUCUCUUUUAUUUAUAUGAACGCUAGAACCAAGGAGAAGCUUAUAAAAGUGAUAGUCAAGUACCUUAAGAUGUUACCUUGCUCGAAGAGUGAUGGUACAGUAUCAUCUUGUGGAAGCUUUCCUUUCUUAGCGGUUGUGCGUCGUGUUUGUGGCAGCCUCCAUGGAUCAUCUCUCUAUGAUGAAUGAGCUAUGUCCUUCUUGUGCAAAUUGUUAAACUUCAUGUGUCACUCUCUUCGUCUCUGAUGUGAGUUUAUCUCAGGACUUCCCAAAUCGAUAUUGAAAGUUUUUCUGCAGGGGUUAGUCCGACAAAAUAUACCAAUAUCUACUCAAGCAGUUUUUUUAGUUCAAUAACCAAACUAGACUCCAUGUCUAAUC